UUAAACAACGUGGUGAUGUGAGAAUCGCUCUGAUCUUUUUAUGAAACUGCUCUCGUUUCAUUUCGUCUUAUGUUACUUGUCGUCAAAUUCUUGCUAUAUCUUUAAAAAGCGAUGUUCCACCUUCGUAAGAAACACCAACUGAAUUCCUUUGGGAUUAAAAGUCGGUAGACUGGAUGUACAUGGGGAGAACUACAAGCUAUGAAAGUAGUCAAGACGCAACAGCUGGACGGCAUCAGAUAAGAACAUAAAAUUUUGUUGAGUAAAAGCACAACACAACAUUUACGCAUGGUUAACAAUUCGUGAAUCUCCUUCCUAAUCCUUGGACAGGACAAAUUUUGAUUAGCUUUCGAGAAGAUGAUUCAAGUUAUUGUGUAUUUUUCAACAGGCAUGUAUGCAUGUUACAGGUCGGGACUUCUUGCAUAUAAUCUCCGCACUAAAAAUAUAUCAUCUAUUGUGAAUGCAUUGAUAAUGUAGCUUUACCGUUGGAGAAAAAAAGAAAAGUUGUGAAUGCAAUCUUCAACUACAUUGUACGUUUAAAUUGCGUCAACCCAGCAAUACUGUACACGCAAAGAAGUUAUGUUAUAUUGCAGCACGUUAUAUUCAGAGAAAAAUCUCAGUUGAGGCAACUGUGCAGUCACUGUGAGUGCAGUGUACAAUGUUAAAAAGGGAACCGUUUUAAAUGUAGAAGGGAGGAAAAAUCUGACUUGUUAAAGGCAUUAAUACCAAAUUGGAAUCAAGCUUUAAAUGGUUUGUUUCUACAAGCUGAAAAUUUUAUACAUUUUGCCAAAAAAAUUAGUAUGGUUUGUUUUUCAGUAUUUCUUGGAUUCUUGUUAUUUUUCUAGUGUUACAUGGCUGCGUGAAGCAUAUGGAGUUGCUGGUCCGAACAAGAAGUUGGCAUUCCACUGUUCAACAUGGCUUCAAUUCUUUCCGUUUUUCUGGUGUUACGUACUUGGGGUGCUUAGAGCGCAUGGAUUUUCUAGAAAAUGUAUUUCCUAAACGAAGACAUUUUACAGCAAAGUUGCACUAUAAAAAACAGAAGUAAAAGAUGAAGAAAUUAAAGUUAUUGCAACACUUGAAAACAAGAGAAUUACGAGUUUUUCAAUCCUGGGUGGGGUGUAUUUUUGUCAAUAUAAAAAUUGGAACACAUUCGUGUACUUUAAUUGAAUUUUCAUGAUCUUCUCCAAACUCUUUGAAGUUCUAUGUGAGGAAUCCUGCGAUGAUAAGUAUAAAAGUGAACAAUUUUAUU